rnacentral:rRNA from 1 species
UACGUAGGCAGCGAGCGUUGUUCGGAGUUACUGGGCGUAAAGAGUAUGUAGGCGGUUUUGUAAGUUCGGUGUGAAAUCUCCCGGCUCAACUGGGAGGGUGCGCCGAAAACUGCAAGGCUAGAGUGUGGGAGAGGAAAGCGGAAUUCCUGGUGUAGCGGUGAAAUGCGUAGAUAUCAGGAGGAACACCAGCGGUGUAGACGGCUUUCUGGACCAUUACUGACGCUGAGAUACGAAAGCGUGGGGAGCAAACAGG